AAGUCGUAACAAGGUCUCCGUAGGUGAACCUGCGGAAGGAUCAUUACAGAGUUCAUGCCCAUCGGGGUAGACCUCCACCCUUGCAUACCUUACCUUUGUUGCUUUGGCGGCCCGCCUCACCUUGUGUGAGGCCACUGGUCUUGGCCGGUGCGUGACCGUCAAAGGUUAUCAACUCUAUAAUUUAUGUCGUCUGAGUACUAUAAAAUAGUUAAAA
rnacentral:misc_RNA from 1 species